AGGGAUUUAACUCAGUUGCACCAAGCCUGCCUUGUAAGCACAAGGUCCUGAAUUUAAUCCCUGGUACCAAAACAAACAAACAAGAAAAGAAAAGGAAGCAGAGACCUAAGUUGAAGCCAGAAACGAGAACUUCCUCUGCAUGGUGUGAGAGUUUGGAAGGAAAAGAUUUGCAUACCUCCACCUGGAACCCAGAGC
rnacentral:lncRNA from 1 species